rnacentral:rRNA from 1 species
GACAGAGGUGCCAAGCGUUAGGCGGAAUCACUGGGCUUAAAGCGUGUGUAGGUGGAUUUGUAAGUACCUUGUGAAAUCCCAUGGCUCAACCAUGGAACUGCUCGGUAUACUGCGAAUCUUGAGCCACUUAGGGGCUACCGGAACAAAUGGUGGAGCGGUGAAAUGCGUAGAUAUCAGAGGAACACCGGUGGCGAAGGCGGGUCUCUGGGCCGAUAUUGACGCUGAGGCGCGAAAGCUAGGGGAGCGAACGGG